GAAUGAGCCGACGCUUCGUCCUCCUCCAAGAUCCAAUGCACCAUCCAGUUUCACCGCGCAAAUUUCCCCUCCGCCUCCCGCCAAAUCGGUUCUAGACGCGCCAAAUCAGCUCCCUUGCGCGCCAAAUCGAAGCCUGGAUCCCAAAUAUUUUGCCGCAGCCUACUACAUUGUCACCAGCAUACUGCCGUACAGGACUGCAACAGAUGGGCUCGUCUUCAACGCAAGUGCCUUGGUGGACACCUCCCGGCGUUGGUGCCCCAUCUGCUCAAGACCAAGACGUACAAGCAUGGGGAGUGGAUUUGCACCCACCUAGUGGUUUCGUAAAUCUUCUGAACAAGAAUGCAUCAAACCCCACUCAAGAUGUGAACAAUGGGAGUUCAUCACAGCCAAUCAACAUAUGUGAUGACACAGAUUACAGUAGUAGGACUGAGAAGCGUUUGGUAUGGACAAAAGAGGAGGAUCUUAUACUUGUUGGGGCAUGGCUCAAUAAUUCCAAAGAUCCAAUCCAAUCAAAUUACAAGAAGAAUGAUUAAUAUUGGAAAGAUGUUGCUGUUGCGUACAACAGAGCAGUCCCAAAGAACAGGGCAAGGCAAGUUAAGCACAUCAAAGAUCGCUUUGCUAGAAUUAAGAAAAAGGUUACAUGGUUUUGUGAGAGUUGGAAAGAGGCAAAUACUUUGUGGGCUAGUGGUGAGUCUGAUGCAGACUUAAUGAACAAAGUACUAAAACUUUAUGAAGACGAGCACAAAAAAGAGGGUCCAUUUAUGUUCAAGCAUUGUUGGGAUGUUCUGCGUAACGAACCAAAAUGGGAUGCUUACGUGGAACGCCUUGAAGAUUUAGAGCCAGAUAAGAGGAAAUUUGAGGAGGACAUCGGUGAGCAGUUCUCUCUAGAACAUGCUACAGAUGAGCGGCCCAUAGGAGGAAAAAAAAGCUAAGGAGCAGUGGAAACGGAAAAAAAAGGAUGAAGCUUGUAUAAUAGAUCUUGAAGGCGAACUCACUGCCUUUGUGGAGGCUCAAAAUAAAGCAAAUGAAAGCCGUAAGGAGAUGCUAGAGACACAAAAACGAGUGUCAAGUGAAAAACUUGAAGCUCAGAAGCUAGCAUAUCUUGCAGCAAAAGAGAAUAAGGAGGCAGGUAUGCUAGAAGCAUAUCGAGAGUUGUUGAAACAAGAUACAACUGGGAUGGCUGAAGAUGUGAGAUCCGAACAUGUACUGGCGUUGAA